UACGUAGGGGGCUAGCGUUGUCCGGAAUCAUUGGGCGUAAAGAGCGUGUAGGCGGUCCGGUAAGUCCGCUGUGAAAGUCCAGGGCUCAACCCUGGAAUGCCGGUGGAUACUGUCGGGCUCGAGUCCGGAAGAGGCGAGUGGAAUUCCUGGUGUAGCGGUGAAAUGCGCAGAUAUCAGGAGGAACACCAAUGGCGAAGGCAGCUCGCUGGGACGGUACUGACGCUGAGACGCGAAAGCGUGGGGAGCAAACAGG
rnacentral:rRNA from 1 species